rnacentral:rRNA from 1 species
UACGAAGGGAGCUAGCGUUACUCGGAAUUAUUGGGCGUAAAGCGUGCGUAGGCGGUUUUGUAAGUUGGAAGUGAAAGCCCAGGGCUCAACCCUGGAAUAGCUUUCAAAACUACAAGACUAGAGUAUCAGAGAGGAUAGUGGAAUUCCUAGUGUAGAGGUGAAAUUCGUAGAUAUUAGGAGGAACACCGGUGGCGAAGGCGACUAUCUGGCUGAAUACUGACGCUGUUGCACGAAAGCGUGGGGAGCAAACAGG